rnacentral:rRNA from 1 species
AUUGAACGCUGGCGGCAGGCCUAACACAUGCAAGUCGAGCGGAUGAAGGGAGCUUGCUCCUGGAUUCAGCGGCGGACGGGUGAGUAAUGCCUAGGAAUCUGCCUGGUGGGGGGGGUAAAGGUCGGGAAAGGGGGGCAAUAACGGCAUAGGUCCGGGGGGGGAAGGGGGGGGGGUUUGGGACCUAAGGUUAUAGGAGGAGCUAGGUCGGAUUAGCUAGUUGGUGGGGUAAAGGCCUACCAAGGCGACGAUCCGUAACUGGUCUGAGAGGAUGAUCAGUCACACUGGAACUGAGACACGGUCCAGACUCCUACGGGAGGCAGCAGUGGGGAAUAUUGGACAAUGGGCGAAAGCCUGAUCCAGCCAUGCCGCGUGUGUGAAGAAGGUCUUCGGAUUGUAAAGCACUUUAAGUUGGGAGGAAGGGCAGUAAGUUAAUACCUUGCUGUUUUGACGUUACCAACAGAAUAAGCACCGGCUAACUUCGUG